GUUGAACGCUAGCUACAGGCUUAACACAUGCAAGUCGAGGGACCGGCGCACGGGUGUGUAAUACGUAUCCAACCCUCCUUUUACUCGGUGACUGCCUUUCGAAAGAACGAUUAAUACCUGAUAUAAUGGAUGGGGAUGCGUUCCAUUAGGUUGUUGGUAAGGUAACGGCCCACCAAGCCUUCGAUGGAUAGGGGUUCUGAGAGGAAGGACCCCCACAUUGGAACUGAGGCACAGUCCAAACUGCUACGGGAGGCAGGAGUGAGGAAUAUAAGUGAAUGAGCGCUGGCGUGAACCAGCCAAGUAGCGUGAAGGAUGAAGGCUUAUGGGUCGUAAACUUCUUUUAUAUAAGAAUAUGUAUUAGAUGAAUAAGGAACGGCUAACUCCGUGCCAGCCGCCGCGGUAAUUC
rnacentral:rRNA from 1 species